CCACGGCAUGGAGAGAGCUUCCCCUGUCGCUGCUGAAGACGGCGCAGAACCACCCCAUGCUGGUGGAGCUGAAGAACGGGGAGACGUACAACGGGCACCUGGUCAGCUGCGACAACUGGAUGAACAUCAACCUGCGGGAGGUGAUCUGCACGUCCAGGGUGAGGCCCGCGCCGCCCCGCCCCCCUGCGGCCCCGCCCCGCCCCCCUGCGGCCCCGCCCCGUGGGCGUCACCCGGCCAGCAGGAGGAGGGCAGCGCCCCCACCGCCGGGACCUACCGGGUGAUGUGGGAGGGGCGGGGCGGCUCCCCAGGACCCACUGAGGGCCUCCCCCCGGGCUGCGAGCCCCUGCAGACCCCGGGGUGGCCGCCAGGCCUGGGCUGCCCCGCCUCCCGGUGGGAGGUGCUGGGUCAGACCCCGGGGUGGGGUGGGGUGGGGUGGGAGGGACCCGGCGCCUCCCCAGGGUUGGCUCAGCCCCCGGGCCCUGCUUCCAGAUCCCCGGCGCCCGCGGGGAGGAGUGACGUCCCGGCCUGUCCUUGGCCACUGUGGAGCCAGCGUGGCGCUGGAGCUGGGCCCCAUGGGACCGCCCUACUUGUGUCUGGCUGGCCUUGGGGUCCCCACUGGGAGCCCGCCCUCGGCGGCCUCGGCCGGCGACGCCCACCCAGCCGCCCGGGGAGCAGCUGACCGGAGGGGGGGUUCUGGCCGGGAACAGCGCCUGCAUGCACCGUGCGGGGCUGGUGGCCAGGGCGGGGCCGGUCCCGAGCUGUGUGGACCUUGUCCCUGUGCAGGGGCCCGGGCGGGGGUGUGGCCGGGAA
rnacentral:lncRNA from 1 species